UCAUUUCUUCUUCUUUAUUUCUUCAAAAUCCAUUUCUAAAGUUCCAAGUACUUUCUCCAUCACCCACAUCCACCAUUAGCCACCACAAACCAUCAUUGUUCUCCAUUGAAAACCCACACCGAGAGGAACCCUUUAACCGAAGCAGAAUUUCCAACUUGGCUUGCGGUUUCGGUAGAGAACGAAAACCCUAAUCUGAUCUUUCAUUUUCUUUCGAGGUAAUCAUGGUUCUAUGCUUGUUUCUUGUUAGUUUCAUCUUGUCUUUGCAUCUUUUCUAACUUUGCAACCGCCAUUGCAUGUCUUAUGCUUCCUUUGAAAAACCUUAGAGAAAGAGACUUUGUAAACAUUAUCCUUUCAUGAAAUGCAUGUUAUUUUCGUAACCUACACUGAACCCCGGUCACAUUGGCGUGGUCGGAAUUUCCAAAUUACGUUCCUUUGUAAAACCCAAAAUACUCUCAGCUCUUUCAUGUAGUGAUGUGGGUGUUUGACCCAGAGCACUGUUACUAGCUUUGUUUUCUUAAAUCCAUACUAAGUCUCUUUCGUUUUGGCAUGGUAGAGGCUUGUGUGGAAUCGACGAGCAAGGACAAAAAGGAAUCUUCAAGUGACGCGAGGAGGAAUCUGCGGGGUAGCUCACGAUAGGUAAGGAGAGUUUAUUAUAAAAUUUACCAUUUUAACACCAUAGUUAGGGUCAGGGAACCUAGCUAUGAGGAUAUCUGCCUGUCCCUGUGCAUGCUGAUUUUUCUUCAAAGAAAAUUACGUUUUAACUAAUGGGAUGCGAUAUAUAUAUUGUGAUGAAUGAUAUUGUUUUGGCUGUUUGAAGGCUGUGCGUGUGGAAAUGAUAUUGUUGUGUUUGUUUGAAUUGUUGUUGAUGUUGCUAUUGAGGAUUUUAAUUGAUAUGUGAUGAUAAUGAUGAUUAUGAUGAUAUUGAUUUGAGAUGACAUUGUUAAUAAAGACCAUGUCAACAUGAAUUGUUAUUAUUGAUGAAUAUGUGAAUAUGAAAUGAGGUUGUUGUUGUUGUUGAUAACGUCAUUGAGAUGAGAUGAUAUUUAUGUUGUGAAUGACAUGGAAAUACGAUUUGUUCAUUGAUGUUGGAAAUGCAUUGGCAUGUGCAUGUUGUGUAUGUUCGUGGGGGGUACUGUGCACUGACCUUUCAGGGUCUUUGGCACUAGCUUUUGGCCACGUUCAUACGUUGGAUGUUGUGUAUGAUCGUGGGGGGCAUUGUGCACUGACCUUCCAGGGUCUUUGGCACUAGCUUUUGGCCAUGAUCAUACGUCGUAUGAAGUGUAUGUCAUGGGGGAUAGAGUGCACUGACCUUGUCGGAUGACCCAGACGUGGGUAACUAGCGUGGUUAGAGAAUCUAAGCAUUCCUGAGGGGAUGCUUAGGUGCUUUAAUUGGUCCAUGGUCUUUGGCAUUUACUUUUGGCCGUGAUCAUAGCUCAUACGACACAGGAAAUAGAGUAAUUGUGGCCAAGUGUACUUUGUACUAGGGGGCUGUCACCUGGUAGGGAACACCUUUGGGCUCCCAGGCUGAUCACCUAUGGGAGGGGGGCUGUUACGUGCACAACCGGGUGGUCUCGACAAACUCAGCACAGUUUCCUAAGUGAGAGUGUCGUGUGGACACGCUUGGGCUAUUUCCUGAUAUUUGGUUGUUGUUGGUAUGUACCACAUUGCAUCUGAGUGUUGAGUCAGGUGCAUGCAUUAUUUUGUGCAGUCUUGAUUGGGUCCAUGGAUGGAUGAUGAGUAAUCGUUGGAUGUGAAUGAUGAAUAUUUGUUGGAUAUGAGUGUUGAAUAAUGAUUGUUGUGUAUGCUUAUCAUGUUUGCCUAUGUUCCUUGCUAAUUGUGGUUAUUUGGAAUUGGUAUUGGUUCUUUUAUAAUAAACUCACCCUUGCAAUUUUGUAUCGUGUGGUUGAUACCUGUGAUGAUCACAAACCUUGUUCGUGGGAGCAGAAUGACAGUGGUAGG
rnacentral:lncRNA from 1 species